UUUUUUUUCAAAAUGUUAAACGUUGCGUUUAGUUAAACCUAAAAUAUAUCCAAUAUCAUUUCGAAUUUCUUUUCCCUCCCCACCCCCCACCCCCCGCACGCCCACGUUCAGCUUCCUCUGUUCUCCCUCCCGCCAGUAGUCUCUUGUUCCUCUAACAGCAGCCAUUUCACCUUCGACACCGUCUGGGACCGCCGAGGAGAACCCAGCACGACAGACCCACUGCCAACGUCAGCUUGCAUCGACGGGUCUACAGCUCCACAUUCAAUGUCGCAGACAUUCAGCUCGCUUUCAGAUUUGUUGCUUUUUCCAUUCUACGUGAGGCUCUCAUUUGAUGGUUUACUUAAACUCUUGCAAAGAAAACAGAGCACCGAAAAUCACAAUAGAUAAAAUUUAGAUUUUUCUUUGCUUUUGUUUUUUUUUUGUUCUACUAUUGCCCGAAAAUCACAGUAUAUUUGUUAGGUUUCAUUUUUCAAUCUGUUUGUGAACUUGGAACUUGGGAUGGGUGUUAGUAUAGGUUAAUUUUUUUUUUUUUUAUAUGUAAGAGUGGGAAUUGCAUUAAAAGCCAAUUGGGUUGCACAUAUGAGUGCCAUUGUAAGCUUUUUUUUUUGAUGCACUGUGUAACAGGGUUGAUGAAGUAAGUAUGAGAAAAUUGCAUUAAAAACCAAUUAUUUUUU